CCUACGGGGGGCUGCAGUGGGGAAUAUUGGACAAUGGGCGAAAGCCUGAUCCAGCCAUGCCGCGUGUGUGAAGAAGGCCUUCGGGUUGUAAAGCACUUUCAGUGGGGAAGAAAGCCUUGGGGCUAAUACCCUCGAGGAAGGACAUCACCCACAGAAGAAGCACCGGCUGACUCCGUGCCAGCAGCCGCGGUAAUACGGAGGGUGCGAGCGUUAAUCGGAAUUACUGGGCGUAAAGCGCGCGUAGGCGGUCUGAUAAGCCGGUUGUGAAAGCCCCGGGCUCAACCUGGGAACGGCAUCCGGAACUGUCAGGCUAGAGUGCAGGAGAGGAAGGUAGAAUUCCCGGUGUAGCGGUGAAAUGCGUAGAGAUCGGGAGGAAUACCAGUGGCGAAGGCGGCCUUCUGGACUGACACUGACGCUGAGGUGCGAAAGCGUGGGUAGCAAACAGGAUUAGAUACCCUUGUAGUC
rnacentral:rRNA from 1 species